rnacentral:rRNA from 1 species
AUUGAACGCUGGCGGCAUGCCUUACACAUGCAAGUCGAACGGCAGCACGGGUGUCUGCCCCUGGUGGCGAGUGGCGAACGGGUGAGUAAUACAUCGGAACAUGUCCUGUAGUGGGGGUUAGCCCGGCGAAAGCCGGAUUAAUACCGCAUACGAUCCACGGAUGAAAGCGGGGGACCUUCGGGCCUCGCGCUAUAGGGUUGGCUGAUGGCUGAUUAGCUAGUUGGUGGGGUAAAGGCCUACCAAGGCGACGAUCAGUAGCUGGUCUGAGAGGACGACCAGCCACACUGGGACUGAGACACGGACCAGACUCCUGCGGGAGGCAGCAGUGGGGAAUGUUGGACAGUGGGCGAAAGCCUGAUCCAGCAAUGCCGCGUGUGUGAAGAAGGCCUUCGGGUUGUAAAGCACUUUUGUCCGGAAAGAAAUCCUUGACUCUAAUACAGUCGGGGGAUGACGGUACCGGAAGAAUAAGCACCGGCUAACUACGUG